rnacentral:rRNA from 2 species
UACGGAGGGUGCAAGCGUUGUCCGGAUUUAUUGGGUUUAAAGGGUGCGUAGGCGGCUCUUUAAGUCAGUGGUGAAAGCCGACAGCUUAACUGUCGAAAUGCCAUUGAUACUGGGGAGCUUGAGUACAGUAGAGGUAGGCGGAAUUAAUGGUGUAGCGGUGAAAUGCAUAGAUACCAUUAAGAACACCGAUUGCGAAGGCAGCUUACUAUAGUGUAACUGACGCUGAGGCACGAAAGUGUGGGGAUCAAACAGG